UACAAAUAGCGGAGCCCAC
rnacentral:piRNA from 1 species